rnacentral:lncRNA from 1 species
GAGAUAUUAUAUUCAACAUUAGCAAUAGUAAUAUACACAUGUGACAAAUGAAUCAUAAAUUUGUUUUGUAGUUUUCAAACUUUUUUUCUUCUGAUUUUUAGUUUUUCAAAGCAAUUCUUGCUAGGUAUCAUUGAUUUCUUUGGCCUAAUUUCCCAAAUAUAAGGCUAAUUCUUGAAGUCUUGAUUAACAUGCUACUGCUUAUGGACAUUAUUAGCCUUUAUUAUAUUUGGUUUCCUUUUGCAAUAUUUUGUUAUUACCAUAAGUCUAGUUAUUUAUAAGCUAAAGAGCAAAUGAAAUUUGACUAGUUUUGAACUUGAAAUUGUCCAUGUUGAAUAUUUUCUCUUAAUCUCUGAUGUUCGGGUGAUAAACCUUGAAUGGGAUGGCGAGGAUAAUGGUUAAGAACAUUUUCUAAUUUUUGCUUGGAAAGCAAUUGAAGAAAAAACAAAAAAGGAGAAAAGGGAGGGUAAUAGAGAAUGGUAAGAUAUAUUGACUUUGGAAAAUUAAAUGAAAUUCAUUUCUCAUCCAUUUCAAACUUGGCCUAUUAUUGUCAAAAAUUAAAAGGAAAAGUGUUGUAAGUUAUAGUAAUGCUAGCGCAUGUGUUCUUAGGUGUCUACCUUUGACAUAGAGAUUCAACCAUUUUUUUAAAUGGGCCCAUGGUCAUCUUUGGCUCUUAAUCUUUUUCUCUAAUUAGAAAGGAAACUUCAUAAGCUGAGCAGUGGCAAUUUGCUGAUGACCCAAAGAAUAUGAUUUUAUGUUGGGAGUUGUUUGUUUUAGUUGGAUAAGCUAAACGAAAGUUGUUGUCUCCUUAAUAUGGACAUAUAGACUAUCUUGCACACUUGGUUUAUUUAGGGCAUUCCCUCUCCUUAUAGAUUCACAAUGUUAGUAAAAACUUUCUGAUUGUCUUUUGAAAAAUUGCUAAUCUUGUUUUGAAAAGUUUCUAAUUUUCUUUUGAAUUGAAUAAAACUCCAACUUGAUCCAUGAAUAAACUUGAUCUCAUCUUAGGCAUCAUUUGAUGCAUUUCUUGUUUUUAGUUGUGACCAAUUUGCCUUUUCAUGUCAAAUUGGCCCAUUUAUUUAACUGUAUCAAACUAACCCAUUUAUUUAGUCAUGUCAAAAUGACCUAUUUACUAAAUCAUGUGAAAACAAUUUGUUUACUCAAUCACAUCAAAACGACCCAUUUAUAUAAUUGCUUCAAAAUAAUCCAUUUACUUAAUAUUGUUAAUUAUCCGAUUACUUAAUCAUGUCAAAAUGAUUCGUUUACUUGAUCAUGUCAAAAUAAUCUGUUUACUUGAUCAUGUCAAAAUGACCUAUUUACCUAGGGGUCUCCAACGGUCGGGCCGGGCCGUAAAUAGGAGGCCUGCGGCCCAGCUCGGGCCGGGCCUAUGGGCCCGUUGACUGGUCAACGGGUCGGGCCGGGUCGGGCCAUGCUAAAAUGCUAGGUCCGCGGCUCGGCCUAUGAGCCCGCGGGCUGGCGGGUGGGUCAGGCCGGUGGGCUUUUUGAAUUAAGCCAAAAUGGCUUUCAAAAAAACCAAGGGAAGGGAGAGGGAGGGAUUCGAACCGCUCCCUUCAUGUUUAAACUUUAAGCUUCUAAUCAGCUAAACUACAUUCUUUUUAUGUUUAUUAAUUGAGUUAGUUAUAUAUAUAUAUAAAUAAAGUAUAUUAUUUUUAAAAAAAAAAUUAAAGGCUCCAACCCAUGUGAUCGUUGGAGCUAAGCCUCCAACGGUCACAUGGCCAAUUAUUUUGAAUUUUGAAUUUUUUUUUUUAACCUUCCUAUAAAUACAUUUUCUUCCUUUUCAUUUUUUCAUCAAAUUCUCUCUAUUUCUCUCACAUUCUACAAUAUUUCAAAUUCUUUUAUUUUUCCCUCAAAUUAUAUAAUAUUGUUGGUGGUGCAAAACAAGCAUUGGUGGCUCUAAGAGUUCAAAUUGUGGACCCUAGAUUGAAAUUUGAAGCUUUGGAUGAAUGGUUAACAAUUAUUUAUUUUAAUGACCAAAUAAAAAUUGAAGAAAUUAAAAAUGAAAUAAAUUCAUUAUUAUAUAAUUUAUAUAACUAUUAUAAAGAAAAAUAUGGUAAUGAUAUUAAUACUAUUAAAUUACCACCUACAUCUACAAACUCCUCAUCUUUUUAUAAAGAAGCUCUAGAAAUGUUGAAAAAUCGAAAAAAAACAACAAAUAGUUCUUCAAAUAAUACAUCUGAUUUAGAUAAAUAUCUUAAUACUGAUAUAAUUUCAUUUGAAGAUCAAAAAGAUUUUGAUAUUUUAAUAUGGUGGAAAUCACAUCAACACAAAUAUCUUGUGCUUUCUAUAAUUGCUCGUGAUGUACUAACAGUUCCUGUGUUUUUAGUGCAGGUGGAAGAGUUAUUAGUAAAAAACGAUGCAACUUAGCGUCAGACGUUAUUGAAGCAGGGAUAUGUGUAAAAGAUUGGGAAAUAGCAGAUAAAAGGAUGUACGAUUCCAUUCGAGAAACAGAGAUGCUUGCCAAUAUGGAAUCUUUAAAACUAUCAAGAUCUUCAUGGAUGCAUGAUAGUUCGCCAUCACCGCCAGAAAAUAAUGACUAAAUGUAUAUUAUAUUUUUAUUUUUAUUUUUUGUAGUUGAAAAAUACAGAUGAUUGACAAAUAAAUAGGUGUCAACCUAGUUGGGAUGUAUUUAUUUUGUAGUGAUGUAAAUUUUUCCCAUAUUUUCAAAUGUAAUUAUACAUUUAAUGAAUAAAAUUUUGAAAUGAAUAUUUUUUUUAAUACUUUUUAUUUUUGUAGUCUUUUUUUAAAGGGAAAGGCCUACGGGUCGGGCCGGCCCGUCGGGCCUAAUUUCGGCCCACCCAGAAACGGGCUUGAGCCAGACAGGCUUGGGCCGGGCCGGGCCUAAAGCGGGCCACGGGCUUUUUGAAGACCCUUGUAUUUACCAGAUCAUGUCAAAAUGACCUCUUUACUUAAAUCAUGUUAAAAAGAUCCAUUUAGUUAUUUGUGUCUAAAUGAUCCAUUUAUUAUCGAAUCCAUUUAGGACCAAUUUAACCCAUAUAAAUUUAGUAAUUUUAUAUAUUUAAAAAUUAUUAAUAUUUAUUUAUUUAUUUAUUUAUUGCUAGUUUUUGUUUAUCUAGAAGACUUUCCUCGAAGUCUUUACUUAUAAAUAAAUAAAUAAAUAUUUAAUUUUUUUAAUUAUAAAUAUCAUGUAAUUUAAAAGAUCAAAUAAAUAAUUAAGUAAGAUUUUAUAUAUUUCAUUAUAAAAAUUAAAAAUAUUUUAUAAUUAAAACAUUAAACAAGCGUAGAAUUAAAUUUUAAUUUAUUUUUAUAUCAUAAACAUGUUGGAAUCAUGUUAUCAGGUUAAAAGGGUUACAAUCAUCUUAAUUGGUUGAACAAGUUAAAAUCGUGUGAAUAGGGGUUUAAUGGGCUAGAAUCGUGUUAGUUGGUUAUUUGUGUCAAUUCUUACAUAGGUCAAUUUAACUCAUUCAUUAAAUGGGUGGUGUCAUGUUACAAAUGUUAAAAUCGGGUUGGGUUCACAUCAAGUCAUCUUGAUAUGAUUAUAAAACGAGUUGCAUUGAUGUUGAGCAAAUUGUCAUUACUCAUUCAUUAAACAAGUCGUGCUUAUGUCAAGUCAUUUUGAUAUUAUUGUUAAACGAUUUGUAUUUAGGUUGAGCAAAUUUUCAUUAUUUCUUAUAAAAAUACAAACCCGACACAACACCACCUAUUGCCACCACUAACCAAAAACGUGAUAGAAUAUGUUAUUCUACCUCUUAACCUAUCCCAUGAUAUAUUUAUGUAGUGGAUCAAAGAUAUAUGUCUAGUUUCAAAAAGUAAUACAAGAAGAAAAAAAAAAAGAUAAGGAAAAUUAUUGGAGAAUACAAAAGAGAUCAAAUAUAAUUAAAAUUAAUUAAAAACUUAAAUAGUUUCAAAUUAUUUAAUAUUUAUAUAGAACAAUAAGUGAAAUAAAUUCAAAGUAGCAACAUAAAAAAACUGUUAAUUUUAAAUUUAUUUUUUAUUUUCCCUUGAGAUUUCCCUCGAGAAUCAAGCAUAGCCUACUCUUUAAUUUAUUUUUUUUCAGAUUUUUUUUUCUCAAAUUUUUUGAAGGAUAAAUGUUAAAAAAAAUUACAAUGUGGUAAAAUAUUGGAAGGAAAAAAGUGGUAUUAACCUAAUUAUACAAAGGGACUUGACCUACCAAUCGAGUUUUUUUGCAUUUGGCAAUUUGCUACUUAUGCUUGAGAAAGUUACCUUGAAAGCCACUAGACUUUGAUUAACUAAUGCAAUGUUUGGGCUAAUUCCAUAAUUGUCCUCAUUGAAUUUCAGAUGGAAGAGUCUAGUUUUACUCAGCUUGCAAUUUCAAAAAUGUGCAUCCGAAUUCAGUUGAUCCCAAUGAAGAACACAGUCCUCCAUAUUACAAUUUGGAUUAACCAAAUUAAUGAUAUGGAAUAGAUUUUACAAUUUCAUUGGUGUUCACCCUUACUGCAACAACCUAAUAUGAAAGGUAAUGCGCCUUUACAGAUUAUAGUGAGGAUUUGAAUGAAUAUAUGGAGAAUGGGGUUGGAGCAGAUAUGGUGAUGCUGAGGAUGACAAAUUUGGAGAAAGAAACAACAUUACACCAAGUAGUGUAAUAUCAUUAUCUCCAAGGAAUGAAGUUUGUUAUCGAAGAAGACCUCGAAUUUACCUAUGGUGCUAAUGAUACGAGGUCGAUUCUUCUUUACAUGGUUGCUGAGAGGGGGUUUGAAGACAUUAAAUAUGAUCAUCUACUUGCAUUUCACCAACUUAGUGUUAUCAUUGGUAGAACGGCCUUGCAUGAUACCAUAGUUUUCAAUGAUAAAGGUAAUAUAUAUGUGAUUUUUUUUUUUUUUUAACUUGAAAUCCUCAUAUGACCAGAUGUCUUAGUAUUGUAAUCAAAAUUAAAUAUUUAUCCUCCAUUUUUUAUAUUUUUUAAUAUAGGUUUACUUCCUACACGUGAGAAAUAUCAUGGCAUAAGUGGAGUCGGAAAAAGGUAUGAAUAAUGUAUUUACUAUAUUAAGUGAAAUAAUGUUUUAUAAAGUUCUAUAAUGUAUUUGUGUUUAGUAGACAUUAUGUUUAAUAUUAGCAAUAGUAAUAAUAUUAAAAUUUGAGUUUGUACGCACGUUUGGUUGAUGAACCAUAAAUUUGCUUUGUAGUGGUUCAAACUCUUUUGGUGUUUUGUAGAAAUUUUUUUCUUAAUCUUUGAUGUGUGAUAAACCUUGAAUGGGGAUAAGAAUGUAAAUAAGAUCAUACUUUAGAAGAAAUAAAUCAAAAUCCCGGCAUAAGGUUUUGGUUUCCAUAACAAAUGAUCUUUUUAUUCUUUUUUUAAUUUGAAAAAAAAAAAUGAACCCUUGGACCCUUAGAUUCAGCCUCUCUCUCUUUUUUUUUUUCUUUUUUUUCUUUUUUUAUGGGAUCAUGGCCAUCUUUGGCUCUUAAAUCUUAGUUGCGAAUUGGCAAGAGAAUAUUUGUUGAUGACCCAAAGAAUAUGAUUUUAGUUGUUUAUUUUAGGUAUGGUAAAGACCCUUAGAUUCAGCCUCUUUUUUUUUUUUUUUUUUUCUUUUUUUAUGGGAUCAUGGCCAUCUUUGGCUCUUAAAUCUUAGUUGCGAAUUGGCAAGAGAAUAUUUGUUGAUGACCCAAAGAAUAUGAUUUUAGUUGUUUAUUUUAGGUAUGGUAAAAGCUAAAUGAAAUUUGUACCCUCCUUACGACAUAGAGAAUAACUAGGGUAUUCUUUGAAUUCAUUUGACAGUAAUUUUAAAGGAAGUAUUUCUAGUUUUUUUAAUAUUUAAAUGAUAAAAAUUUUCAAGUAUUAGAAAGAUUAGAAAUACUUCCUAAUAUCAUUGUCUACUCUUGAUCUUAGUGUUUUUUUAUAAAUGGGAUAAAAUAUCCAACUUGAUCCAUGAAUAAACUUGCCUUCAUCUUGAGAUUUGUCUUCUCUUUUUUCUUUUUUCAAAACAAAAAAGAAAAUGAUAGAGAAUGUAAAAUGCUAAAAUGAUUUUGGCUUUUAAAAAAUUAAGGUAUUAAAAAAAUUAAUUUAUACUACCUUAAAAUGCCAUCUUCAUUUUGUUAAUAUUUUUACUACCUUAAAAUUUAGAAUACUUAAAAAUUAUUUUUAAAUAUAAGUCUAUAAUUUUAUAUAAGAGUAAGUAUAUUUUAUAUAGAAAUUAUUAUGAAAAGAUGAAGAAUAUCUAAACCAAGCUUUGAAAUAUUUUAAUCCAUUUCAAGUAUUCUUCGUGUUCAUUACUUGAAAAUACACUAUGUUUCAAUAUNNNNNNNNNNNNNNNNNNNNNNNNNNNNNNNNNNNNNNNNNNNNNNNNNNNNNNNNNNNNNNNNNNNNNNNNNNNNNNNNNNNNNNNNNNNNNNNNNNNNNNNNNNNNNNNNNNNNNNNNNNNNNNNNNNNNNNNNNNNNNNNNNNNNNNNNNNNNNNNNNNNNNNNNNNNNNNNNNNNNNNNNNNNNNNNNNNNNNNNNNNNNNNNNNNNNNNNNNNNNNNNNNNNNNNNNNNNNNNNNNNNNNNNNNNNNNNNNNNNNNNNNNNNNNNNNNNNNNNNNNNNNNNNNNNNNNNNNNNNNNNNNNNNNNNNACUUGAAAAUACACUAUGUUUCAAUAUUUAAAUCUAAAUAAUUUAAAUUUGACAAAAAAAAAAAGAAAUUAUAUUGAAAAACCUAACCUAAAAAUAUUAUAAUCGAUAUUUUUAUCUAAUUUUCUAUUAAAAUUAUCUUAAAUUUCUUUUACUCCAUUUAUAUUCAUUUAUACCACAAUCAAUUGAAGCAUUGUUAUAAUAUGUGGAAUAAAUGAAAUAAAUCAUUCAAAUUUUUUAAAUAAGACUUUUGAAAGUUCUUUUUAAAAGUCUAUGAAAAAAAUUGUUUGCCAAUUUUUUUUAUUAGCUUGUUUAAAUUAUUUGAAUUUGUAAUUAUAAUUUUAUUUAUCAAAUACUAUUUUUAUUUAGAACUUAUAUUUUAUAAAUAUUAAAGAGUUUUUUUUUAUUAUUGUUUUAGAUAGUUUAGUUGUUUGUAAUUUCAAGACAACUUUUAUAUAUUUAUUACAUAAAUUAUUAUAUCUUAUAUAGAAGUUAGUACCAUUUUUUUUUCUAAAAAAAAUUAAAAUAUCCAAAUCAGCACUUAGUUAACAUAGAAUAAAAAAAAUGAAGAGAAGUUUCCAAGGUUCAGAUAUGUGUUAUGGCAAAGAGUUCAAUAAAAAUAUAUUUCCUUACAUUGGUUUAUCCCUUCAUUCUCAAAUUGUUUAAAAUAUGCAAGUGUUUUCCAUUAAAAAAAAAAGAGGGGGGGGAGGGGGAAAGAAACCUAUGAGAAUUAUACUUAGAGUUACGAAGUUACGACAAGGCUAACCAUUGAAAGGUGAAAUAAUAAGAAUCACUGGAAGGCCAAGAUAGUCUCUUAUUGAUUUAUGCCCUUGAGCAAACCCAUAAUUUAUGUGAUUUAUUUCUAAUGUAAAGUCAGAUAUAUGCUUGGGGCUAAGGUAAUCCUUCAUCGUCUUAUGAAGUGGUGCAGGCUCAAGCUAGCAUUGAUGUAAUAACUAUUGUUUAGGCAUUUUAUUGUAGAUUCAAAUUUUGGACUUCAACAACUUAACUUCAACAAAAAUCUCAACACAAAAUACAUGCAAUCCAAUGAAAUAAAAUAAAUAAAUAAAUAAAUAAUUUAACCUAAUGGAAUACAAUUCAUGUUCUAAAAUAAAAACAACUAAACAACGUCAAUCCCCCCCAAAAAAAAGUCACUUUCUUGACUACAAAUCUCUAUUAUAAUUAAAAUAUUAAAGUCCAAAUAUAUGAUAACUUUGGCCAAGAAAAACCAGAAAUAGAGUUACUAUAACUUUGUAAUAUUUUGGAUCGUCGUCCAUAAUCAACUCUAAUGUGUUUAGUUGUUUUUAUAUUAGAAUGAUUAAUUAUUUAAUACUUUAAUGAAACCCUACUUUAAAUAAAUAAGAAUAAAAUAUGGAUAGAGAUUUCCUAAAAUAAACCUAGUUAAACUAAAGAGUAAUUGUUGAUUUUUAAUUCAAUUAACAAGUUGGGGAGUUCCACAAUUCAACCUUAAGUGAAACAAGGGCAUAUAUUUUAAUUAAUCUUAUAGUAUUUAGAGUGCAUGGUUAAAUGAGAUCUAUCAAAGUUCUACAUCUCAAACUUAUCUGUUUUAAUAUUUUAUUCCAUUUUGUAUUACUUAAUAAAUAAAUGAAUAUAAAAUUUUGGUUUAGGUUUUUUAGGUUUUACUACUCUGUGUAAAUUUACCUUAGGGAAAAUAACAAUGAUAAAAUCCCUUAUAACUAUGGAUCAAGAAUUACCAAGAAGUUCUAGUAUUAAAGAAUGUGCAAUUGUACUAUGUAUUGCAUCAAACUAAUUUUGAAAGGUAUUUUGAUCUCAGUACUAAUAUCUUAACUUUUCAUUUAUUGCAUUAUUAGUCCAAUUUCACCAAUUAUUUCCUUUUAAAUCUAAUACUAAGUUUUCAUGUGAUUGUUAAGGUGAGGGACGUAAGUGAUUGAAGCAAAAAUAUGCGUCCUAAUCAAGGAUGAAAAUAUCGGUAAUUGUAGAUAUAUCGGUAAUUUAAGUUUAUAGAUAUGUCGGAUACGUAGGAGAUAUGUUGAUUAGAUAUUUUGACCCAAAAUAUCAUGAUUAAAAAUUAAUAAAAAUUCUAAAAAUAUUAUAAAAAAAAACUAUAUAAGAAGUAAAAAUAGACAUUUUAAAAUUAUUUUUUAAAAAUAUAAAUUUUAUAAGUACACAUUUAUUAUUAAGUUACACUAUAUUAUUUUACAAGAAUACUAUGAUAACAUGUUUAAUUUUAAAAUAUAUUUAAUAUUAACAUUAUGAUCCAUUUUAGUUUAAAUGUAUUUAAUGAUAUCAAAUAAAUAAGAAAAUAUGUAUAAUAUUUAUAUUUUUAUAUUUAAUAAAUAUAUAGAUUAUAUAAAAAAUAGAAAAUUAUGUUUUUAUAUUUUUGGUAAUAAAUUAAAUCAAAUGUAAAAAUAAAAUAAUUAGAAUUAAUCUUUAGUAUUCUUAUAUAUACAUUGUGGUGCAUUUUUUUUUUCUUUUUAUCAAAGAGCAACUUGCUUUGGUGGUUGCUACAAAUUCAACUUGACCAGCAGCCCGCAUUGACCAGAUCGAAACAAGCCGAAAAUUUGGCAAAAAAAAGGAAAAUAUCAAUGUAUAAAAAAAAACAAAAAAAUCGGGUCAUCGAUAUAUCCAUUUGAAAUUUAUAUCGAUAGAUCGUGAUACACGAUUUAUAGACAAUUACAAUGACAAAUUAUUGUACAUAUUUUAGUUCUAACCAUCUACAUCCCCUACAUUACUUAACAAUGGCAAAUUACAGUUACCCUCAAUUUGUAUAGGCAGUUCCCAACCAAGAAACUCAACACACACAUUAUAGUUUGUAUUAUGAUAGCACCAGGGAGAAAAAUGGAUUCUCUUGUGUAUUAGAAUCAUUCAGAUUAUUGCUGCAUUUCCCAAACACUUGACCAUGACAAAUGAAUAAAAACCCUCAACAUUUAUGUUUAGUCCUCAUGCUUGUAACACAUUUUGGUCUAUUCUAUGGUCAUGAAGGUGAAAAAUGAAGGUGGAUUCUCCUAUUUACUAGACUCCCCCACAAUAUGUUUCGAGCCCCCAUAUUAUGCCUGUGUCCUCGCAUUACUUAACAGCGUCAAAUCUUUAAAUUAUUUGAUUGUUGUGGUCAUAAGUUUCUAAUGUUUCAUAUAAUUUUUAAAGAAUUUAUAAAGGAUGCAUUAACCGGAAAUGAUCAUGUUUCAAUCUUCUCAAUCGAAUCCCCAAAUUAUUUGACCGUUUUGUGAUUAUAAAUUUUUAUCUUUUCAUGAGCUGUUUGUCACCUUUUAUUCCCAAAAUACCCUUGUGAAAACUAAAAACCUAAAAAUUAUUGGGAGAAUUAUGUUUUGGGGGUAAAUGGACCCCAAAUUAACAAAAGGUCCAUAUAAUUCUUCAAAUUGAGCCCAAGACCCAAUGAAAGUAUGGAAAUUGAGUUGAAGGAUAUCAUCCUUCAAUAUUUUAAAAAAUACCCUUUGUUGAUUUUGAGAAAAAAAUUUUAAUAUUUUUGAAAAAUACUUUUAUGUAAUUUAAUAUUUUUUAAAUACUUUUAUUUAAUUUAAUAUUUUUUUAAAAUAAAUUUAUUUAAUUUAAAAUUUUAAAAAAUAAAUUUAUUUAAUUUAAUAUUUUAAAAAAAUAAAUUUAUUUAAUUUAAUAUUUUUGAAAACUACUUUUAUUUAAUUUAGUAUUUUUGAAAAAAAAAAUUAUUGAAAAAAAAUUAUUUAACUUAAUUUUAUAAAAUAUUUUAUAUGUGUUCUUAAAGGGUAUAUUUGUCCGUUAUUAUUUCAUAUCCUUCAACUCAAUUUGAAGAGUUAUAUGGACAUUUUGUUAAUUUGGGGACCUAUCUACCCCCAAAAGAUAAUUCUCCCAAAAUUAUUUAGAAAAAAAAACUUUUCCACCCAACAUCCCAAGUCAUUACAAUUUGUGGUGCAAUCUUCAAUCUCCUCAAUUCAAAAUCUAUGAAUUAUUUGACUGUUUUGUGGUUAUAAAUUCUAUCCAUUUGAUAUGAUUUUUAAAAAAUAUUUAAAGGAUGCAAUUACCAUUGAAAGCUAUAUUUCAAUCUUUCUCAAUUAAAUCUACAAAUUAUUUGAUUAUUUUGUGAUUAUAAAUUCCUAUUGAGGAAAAGUACGAGUUUACUUGUUCAAAAUACCAAUAAAUCACAUUUGAAAUUGUAGGAGCCAUGAUUAAGAAUUUGACUCAAAUCAUCUUAAAAGUUAAAAGUUACACUUGUUUUUCAAAUAAUGUUUUUAUUAUUUGAGAAGAUCAUUCAAAUCAAGUUUAACUAAGAUGAAAAAUAGAAAUAUUUACUAUUAUUGAAAAAUAUAAAGCUCAUAUUUGAAAAUUCUAUCCAAAUAACCUUUAAAGUUACGUGUUUUAACAAGAAUUAAAUUUGAAAAUAACGAUUAUAUAUUCAAAAUGAUUAAUUUCAUUCAUCUUUAUGAGGUUUGAGUUAAAUAUACUAAGUUAUCGGUAGUUGAAAUUUUAUCAAAUACCUUUUAUAUCUUUCUUAAAUGAAAUCUCAAACUCUUGUUAACCGAGUGUAUUUAGACCAAAUCCUAAAAAAAUGUGAGUGAAAUCUACUUAUGUUCAAAAUUGAAGAUGCAAAUAAGGAGAAUACAUAAAGACUAAAAUGAAAAUAUUAGUCCAAUAAAUAAAUAAUUUAAUUUAAUUGUAUAAAUUUGAUAGAAUAUGAAUCUAAAUCAUUUUGGGUAUACUUAAUUAAUUAAAUAAAAACUAUAUAAAUUUAAAAAAUUAAAUUACUUUUGAAAUCCAAAACCCUACUUCAACCUAAUUAAACUCAUCAUGGAUUGAAAACCAUCAAAAGUGGAAGUGGGCUUGUUGCAAAAAUUUGAUUGAGCCGGCUUACAGCCCAAUAAUUCAAAAAUUGGCCCGGCCCAGUCUCAGCCCUUUAUAUCACCCGACUCAACUCACCCCCAUCGAAUGCCCCUUUAGGGUUUGCUUGCGAUGAAGAAGCGCCGCCGAUCUGAUUUCUCACAAAAGCAUUCAGAUUCCGUCCCCAAAUGCUACGUUUCGGUAGAUCUCUCAGUAUUGGGUACUCUUCCUAUCUUUAUCCCCAAUUCAAUCAAUCAAUUUCUAGUUUCGAUGUAAUCGUUUGGAUGCUGAGAAAAUAACGAGAAAAUGAAAGAAAGUUUUUGAAUCGUUAAAUUUUCAUCAUCUAGGGCUUCACCUAGAUCUCACAUGACUUUGGCCUAGCUGAUUUGAGUUGUUUAAUUUUUAAUUUGUUUUUUCUGUUUGUUUGUUUUGAUUUCUGGUAACAAAGAAAUUGCUGAGAGAUAACAUAGUAAUCAAUUUUUUUAUUUUAUUUUAUUUAUACUUUGUUCUUCAUUUUCUAGUUAACCAAACACAGAGUCGGAUUUCCUGCUUAUUUGAAUUGAGUUUCUUCCCUUUUUUUUUUAACCUCUAUUUGAAUACUUUCAUAUUCAAAAUAUCUUUUCGACCCCAUUUCUUAACUAUGCUGAGCAGCCAACCUAAUAGGAAUGGAUCAUGUUUCUGGUAUUUUCCUUAGGUUGGAAUGAUUUAGUCUCUUAUGUUUUGUCAAUUAAAAUACCCAAAUUGUAAUGUUGUUUCUCAUUGGAUCUUUGAUAAAUAUAUUUUCUUUGAUGUAUGAGAACAUUUUUAUGAUUUAUGGAGACGAGUGAUAGCAUCAUUGUGUUGAAAUAUUAAGUGAUGGCAUGUGGCUGGACUUCUCGAUAUUGUAAUUGAAAUUAAAUAUUUAUCGUUCUUUUUUCUUUAUAUUUUUCAAUUUAGGUUUGCUUCUUACGAGUGAGAAGUACCAUGGCAUGAGUGGAGUCGGAAAAAGGUAUGAAUAAUUGUACGUCUUUUACUGAAUUAAGUGGAAUAAUGCUUUAUAAGUUCAUAUAAUAUAUUUUUGCUUGGGAGACAUUAUAUUCAACAUUAGCAAUAGUAAUAUACACAUGUGGCAAAUGUAUCAUAAAUUUGUUUUGUAGUUUUCAAACAUUUUUUCUUCUUCUGAUUUUUAGUUUUUCAAAGGAAUUCUUGCUAGGUAUCAUUGAUUUCUUUGGCCUAAUUUCCCAAAUAUAAGGCUAUUUCUUGAAGUCUUGAUUAACAUGCUACUACUUAUGGACAUUAUUAGCCUUUAUUAUAUUUGGUUUCCUUUUGCAAUAUUUUGUUAUUACCAUAAGUCUAGUUAUUUAUAAGCUAAAGACCAAAUGAAAUUUGACUAGUUUUGAACUUGAAAUUGUCCAUGUUGAAUAUUUUCUCUUAAUCUCUGAUGUUCGGGUUAUAAACCUUGAAUGGGAUGGCGAGGAUAAUGGUUAAGAACAUUUUCUAAUUUUUGCUUGGAAAGCAAUUGAACAAAAAACAAAAAAGGAGAAAAGGGAGGGAAAUGGAGAAUGAUAAGAUAUAUUGACUUUGGAAAAUUAAAUGAAAUUCACUUCUCAUCCAUUUCAAACUUGGCCUAUUAUUGUCAAAAAUUAAAAGGAAAAGUGUUGUAAGUUAUAGUAAUGCUAGCACAUGUGUUCUUAGGUGUCUGCUUUCAACCUAGAGAUUCAACCAUUUUUUUUUUUAAUGGGACCAUGGUCAUCUUUGGCUCUUAAUCUUUUCCUUUAAUUGGAAAGGGAACUUCAUAAGCUGAGCAGUGGCAAUUUGCUGAUGACCCAAAGAAUAUGAUUUUAUGUUGGGAGUUGUUUGUUUUAGUUGGAUAAGCUAAACGAAAGUUGUUGUCUCCUUAAUAUGGACAUAUAGACUAUCUUGCACACUUGGUUGAUUUAGGGCAUUCCCUCCCCUUAUAGAUUCACAAUNN